UAACAGUUUGUGAUCCAGCUCAUGACUGU
rnacentral:piRNA from 1 species